UACGUAGGUGGCAAGCGUUGUCCGGAUUUACUGGGCGUAAAGAGUAUGUAGGCGGAUAUUUAAGUCAGAUGUGAAAUUCCCGGGCUUAACCUGGGCGCUGCAUUUGAUACUGGAUAUCUAGAGUGUGGGAGAGGAAAGCGGAAUUCCUAGUGUAGCGGUGAAAUGCGUAGAGAUUAGGAAGAACACCAGUGGCGAAGGCGGCUUUCUGGACCAUAACUGACGCUGAGAUACGAAAGCGUGGGGAGCAAACAGG
rnacentral:rRNA from 1 species